rnacentral:rRNA from 1 species
AAUAGAUACCCCGGUAGUCCACGCCGUAAACGUUGGGCGCUAGAUGUGGGGACCAUUCCACGGUUUCCGUGUCGCAGCUAACGCAUUAAGCGCCCCGCCUGGGGAGUACGGCCGCAAGGCUAAAACUCAAAGGAAUUGACGGGGGGCCCGCACAAGCGGCGGAGCAUGCGGAUUAAUUCGAUGCAACGCGAAGAACCUUACCAAGGCUUGACAUAUACGAGAACGCUCUAGAAAUAGAGAACUCUUUGGACACUCGUAUACAGGUGGUGCAUGGUUGUCGUCAGCUCGUGUCGUGAGAUGUUGGGUUAAGUCCCGCAACGAGCGCAACCCUCGUUCUAUGUUGCCAGCGGUCCGGCCGGGAACUCAUAGGAGACUGCCGGGGUCAACUCGGAGGAAGGUGGGGAUGACGUCAAAUCAUCAUGCCCCUUAUGUCUUGGGCUUCACGCAUGCUACAAUGGCCGGUACAAAGGGCUGCAAUACCGUAAGGUGGAGCGAAUCCCAAAAAGCCGGUCUCAGUUCGGAUUGAGGUCUGCAACUCGACCU